GGAUGUGAGGGUGAUCUGGCUGUGACACCUGUCACCCCAUUGAUAGUCAUAGUUGAUUUGGCUGAUUCGGCUGAUCUGGCUGGCUAGGCGGGUGUCCACUUCCUCCCUCAAUGAUCCAUGUACAUCCUUCCAGAAGCUGCGCGCUCGGUCGAAGAGAAUGACCACCCCUGAUAGAGAAGGACCGUUCCUCAGUAAAGGGUAUUCCAGUAGCUGCACUCCCCUGCUAGAACCUCCAAACAAGCUCUCAAGAAGUUGAUGCAGCCGAAUAUGUUAUGAGUGACGUCUUUUCUAUCUCCAACCCAUUAGCCUGUAUCUUUCAAAGC
rnacentral:snRNA from 1 species